UUCCUGUAGAGUAAAUGGUUGGGAGGAAGUUGCAUCAAGUAGUCUAGGAUCAGGAAAGAAUGAAAUGUUGGGAAUUAGAGUCCUUAAGAGUUAAGUUCGCCUCACUCAGUGACUCAUUCCACUUCUUUGUGCCUUAGUUCCCAUAACUGUCAAAUGAGGAUGAUAAUAUCUAUUUCAUGGAAUAAUUGUGAUGACUAAGUACAAUAUGUACGUGACCUGCUGAAUCUUUGAUGGCUUGACAAAUCAAUAUAUGUUCUCCUUUCUCUAAUUUGUUCUUAAUGAAAGUUUAGGGGCAGAGUAACUGUGAAUCUUAACAUUUCUAGUCCUAAAUAACUGAGGAAACAGCCAUAUCUGGUGUAAGUUGAUGUAUUUGGCCCAAGUGUCAUGGGGUGGUCUUUCUGGAUUGGAGUGGUCAGUCACUAACAAUGUUUAUAUUGUUUGUAAGAUACUCUGACACAUACUAAAGCAGGAGAUUCUAUAGCCCUGGCAAAUGUUUGACCAUCACACCAUCUCUAAAUGCUACAUUAGAAUGGCCACAUUCUAUUCUGACAGUGCUCUGCAAGUUCUACCUUUAUUAAUUUCUGUGCGGAUCACGAGUUCACCGUUUGGAGGAGAGGGAAGUGUAUGACAAAUCUUUACUUAUUGAUAUCUCCAGGAAGCAAAUAGAAAUUUUUGUAGAGUGGCCAAUUCAGGAAAAAAACAUGUUUAUAAGCCAUUGCUAUUUUGUUUUCUGAUUAAAAAAUAUGAAUAAAACAUGUGAAUGUCCUUAUAAUACUGAAAAGUACUGGGCAAACAUGACAUUCUCUUUUCACCUCUUUUGGUUUCCUGUUUCAGGUGAAGUUGGAACUGCCCAGUAAUUUCAUGGAUGAGUAUCUAAGGAAGUGAUAUCCCCCCCCCCAAGGGCACAAAGAUUUUUUUUGGGGGGAGGAAUGAAAAAUUUCGGCUCAUUAAGUACAUACAUACAUAUAAUAUGUAAACAGAUAUAUAUCUGAGGUAUUACAUUUUCAUGGAGGAGAUUUCAUGGGGAAGUGGCUAGGAAAUAUAUAUCUAAAGUGGUUCUUGGAGUUCCCAGGCUAGGGGUCUAAUCGGAGCUGUAGCCACCGGCCUACGCCAGAGCCACAGCAACGCGGGAUCCGAGCCGCGUCUGCAACCUACACCACAGCUCAUGGCAACGCCGGAUCGUUAACCCACUGAGCAAGGGCAGGGACCGAACCCGCAACCUCAUGGUUCCUAGUCGGAUUCGUUAACCACUGCGCCACGACGGGAACUCCUCCUUUCUUUUCUUACUGCUUUGGAAAUCUCAGUUUCAUACACUAAGUUGAUAUAUAUGCAAGGACUUGUUCCUACCUUAUCUAGCUGGUCAUAUGCCUAUCUCUACAUUUUCUUGUGACAAUAUUAUUCUCUAUUAAUUACUCUAAUUUCUUUGUUCUAUGAUAUGGUUGGAGCAUAUCUUCAAUCCAUGAUCCUUUUCCACACUUUUUGUUAAAAAGUUGUUGGUUUUUUUGUUUAUUUGUUUUUUGCUAGAAUGUGUUUUAAUUCAAAAUGAAAAUAGUUGUAUUGAGUUCUGGGAUUGGAUGAACAGGAAGGAGCAUGAAUGUUCUUAAGACUUUAUGUAACUGCAAAGAUGGCUAUAACUUGCACAAAUUCUCAUAGGAGAUUUCUGUAGCCAAUAAAAAUGUGUGUAUCUAAGCCUUUUUAGGAAGCAACUUAAAAGUAAUCUUUCAUUUAAAAAUUUAAAAAUUGUUUUAUUGAAAUAUGGUUAAUUUCCAGUGUUUUGUUAGUUUCUGCUGAAUAGCAAAGUGACUCAGUU
rnacentral:lncRNA from 1 species